rnacentral:rRNA from 1 species
GCAGACCCUCGCUGUGUGUUAUACGUGUCACACGGGACUGCCGGUUUUAAGCCGGAGGAAGGCGAGGAUGAAGUCAAGUCAGCAUGGCCUUUAUAUCCUGGGCUACACACACGCUACAAUGGUCUGUACAACAGGUUGCCAAACCGCGAGGUGGAGCCAAUCCCUAAAACAGGCCUCAGUUCAGAUUGCAGGCUGCAACCCGCCUGCAUGAAGCCGGAGUUGCUAGUAACCGCAGGUCAGCUAUACUGCGGUGAAUACGUUCCCGGGUCUU